ACUGCUGCUGAAGAAGUAGUAGUGGAGCAAAGUGCAGGCAGUCAGGAUGAUAAAUAUUGCCACUGUCAGCAGCCAGAAUAUGGAGACAUGAUUAGGUGUGAUGGGAAGCAUUGCAGUCGACAAUGGUUUCACUUUCAGUGUGUUAAUUUGAAGAGGGCACCUAAAUCGCGGAAAUGGUUUUGUAAUGACUGCAAGAAGGUGUAAAAAAAGUACUGUACAUUUACUAGAUGCUUUGCACUAAGGACACGUCAGUCAAAUGGUACAACAGAGUCGCACAGGUUGGUAAGUGCGGCACACACAAAUACAACCUUGUCAAGUGCGCUGACUUUUAUGCCGUUAAGCACCUUCGGCUCCAAAAAUUCAGUGGGAAGAGUGCUUUUGAGAAUGGAGUACUUGUUCCUGACUAACCCAAUAACUCUUUCAACAUGAAUCCUAACAUUUGCUAGCCUACGUGUUGCCUCAACAGAGUAUGCAGUAAGCUGCGGCUUCCCUUUAGUGAAGGCUGGGAUUUCCAGCUUCGCUCCACACAUGCCCACGGCAUCAGAGAUCAAGAAACCCCUGUCAGCCAGCACAGAGUCGCCAGGUAGCAGGUUGCUAAGAAUGCCACACGAUUCUGUCAGCAUUUUGUCACUGGUACGCCCACCCCACCCUCUUGAUAUGUACGUAAUUACACCUUGUGGAGCGAUGCCAAUUAAGUACUUCACGGUGUUUGCAUGCUUGUACGUAGACCAUGUUAAUGAUCUAGGUUCCAUGGCUGAAGGUCUGUCCACAAAGACUUCAAAACAAUCCAGAAUCACAGCUACUUUCUUGCCAAAUGUUUCUUGGAAUGCCAUUGGCAUCGUUCUUUGAAGAUCUUCACGUUCUGGCCAUUUGAUCAGACUGCUGAGCCUAAUGUAAGCAGCAUCAAGCCACCUUUCUACUGUCCUCGUUACGGUUGACUGGUGAAUGCCAAACCUGUAAGAUAAAACUGCUGAGUUGUUAUGUGCUUUAGUAAGUGUUAUUGAAGCUAAUGCAAUAAAGUUCACCAGCACAAAAUGGCUAUUGCAUGCUCAACUGCAGUUCUGCGUAGUGCAGGAACCUUAAUGUUACAAAUGAAUAUAGGUAUGGCUGUUGCCCAGAAUAAAAUACCUGUAUGCAAGAUCUUGUAACGGGACGUUAAGCCGCAACCUCAUUAGGAAAACGACCAUUUCCUGAAAUUUGCUCAGGCGGUUUCGUAAUGUAUGCCUUACAUGAGGCUCAACUAAGAUGUAAACAGCCUCCAAAACUGCAUAAUUUGGCAGCCCUGUGUAAAAAACAACCAUGUCUGGGUUGCUGCGGAGCACAUCCCUGUCUCCAGGGGCUGCCUUUGCCAGGCGACUGCGUGCAAUAUCCAGGUCAUGCUGAAGGCGGUGGUUUUCUUCCUCCAGUGAAGAGAUGUGGGCUGACAGCAGGUCAGCUGUCACCUCUUUGUCUAUCAUGCCUGCAUGAUAAAUUGAAUGUGUGAUGACCAUAUGAAGGGAAAGCACUGGUGUCAACACAAUGUAUAAUGAUGUUACUUGUUUCAGCACCUUUACAUGAGGAUUUUUAUUAUUGUAAUAAAUAAUGACCUUGAA
rnacentral:lncRNA from 1 species